rnacentral:lncRNA from 1 species
AAGGGAAGGUGAAACUGUGGCCGUGAAUUCCAUAUUCGAGCUUCAUCAGUUGCUGGCCCAGCCCGGCGCCAUCGAAAAAGUGCUGCAAGUCGUGAGCGAAGUGAAGCCUGAAAUCUUGACUGUGGUGGAGCUAGAGGCUAACCACAAUGGGCCGGUUUUCUUGGACCGAUUCACGGAGUCUUUGCACUAUUACUCGACCCUUUUUGAUUCUUUGGAGAGUAGCGGUGGCGGCGAUAUUGGUGGCGGGGCGGUGAGUGUUCAGGACAAGGUUAUGAGUGAAGUUUAUUUGGGUCGGCAGAUCUGUAAUGUGGUGGCGUGUGAGGGACCGGACCGGGUGGAGAGGCACGAGACCUUGGUCCAGUGGAGAACCCGGUUCCAGUCUGCCGGGUUUGGGCCGGUUCAUUUGGGUUCAAAUGCUUAUAGGCAGGCUAGUAUGUUACUUGCCUUAUUUGCAGGUGGGGAUGGCUAUAGAGUUGAGGAAAAAGAUGGGUGUUUGACAUUAGGAUGGCAUACAAGGCCAUUGAUUGCUACCUCGGCCUGGAAACUCAUCUAACACACUGAGUCAACGAAAACCGGUUGGUUGACUCGGUUUUGAAGGUGUACCUACCUUAGUGAGGAUGAGACGCACCACUCCCAAGUGUCUCACUUUUACUUUUUUCUUUAUAUUUUCCGUUUUUUAGCCGAUCCUUUUUAUGGCUUUGAAAUUUAAUUUUCUUGUUUUAUUGGGUGUAAUCUUGUAAUUCUGAGGGGUGAGUGAAUCUGAAAUAGUCAAUGUGUAUUUUUUUAUUUAUAUAUAGCUUUUGCCUCAAUAAAGAAGAGAGCUCUUCUUUGGAUUUGUGUUUGUGCGUGUGUUUCGGUGUUUGUGCAUGGGAUUUCAAUAGGUUUUGGGCAUCAUGUGAUGGCAGAAAUGCGCUGUUUGUACAGCAUAUAAAUGCUGUAAAUUUUUACAGCCCUCUCAUAGGGGUGGGACUCGCGACUAAAAUAAUCGUGGAUCCUACUCCUAUAUGUGCGAUGACUGUCAAAAUUGAUAUAUAUGGUGCUGUACAUGUAGCAACUUUCAUAACAAUGUGCGAAAUUAUUCAUUACAUUUUGAGUAUUUCGUAAAUUUGGAUCCAUGUAAUCACGGAAUCAAAUACGAACUUGAAUUGUGAGCUUUUGCCUCAAUGAAGAAGGAAAGCUCUCUCUUGGAUUCUUGAUUGUGUUAAUGUUUAGUGCGUGUGAUUUCAAUUGGGCAAGAAGGUUGGGUUGAGUAUUAUGUAAAUGGAAUUAUUUGAGUCUACAUAGUUAUUAGAACUAGACACGAACGUAAAUUAUCGAUUGCAAUUUGGUUUUACUCAUAAUAAAUUUUUUUUUUUUAAAAAAAAGUGAGUUGAUAAUGUAAAUUAUUUGUCAUAUAUAUAUCAAAAUAAAAAAAAAUAAAAAAAUGCCAACAAAUAUAUAUUUAAACACCUCCCUAAUCUGCUACAAAUAAUGUCAUCGAAUAAUAUUUAAUGUCUAGCAUAAAAGCAUCCAGUUCCAAACAUGAUUGUCUCAAGAAAAGUUUGUGAAGUCGUCAAAUGCGUAAUGUGCAGUCUAGAAUGGCUACGAAGGAAAGAAUAAAUUAUUCAAAUAAAUUUUUUUUUUAUUUUUUAUACUUGAUAAGUAGUAUAUUUUUAUUAAAUAAGGUUCAAUGGAUAACUCCCAACUUUACCUACUUGAUCAAUUCAACUGUAGACUAGUGUCGAGUGUGAAUCUUCUUUUAUUACCUUUCUAUAUGUAUGCAAAAACUCAAAGUACAACUUUAGAAAUUCAAUUCCUGUUCAUUCAAGAAAACUACCCCAUUGUUAAUUUCUUUUCACUUGGUGUAUAUUUUUCAACGAGUGACUCAUUCAAAGGAUAGACCACAAUUAAAUAAGAAGAUAUCAAUUUCAAAGGAGAAUAAUCAAGCUAUAGAGUACAAUGUGUUUAAAGUUGAUGCCACCUUAGCAUGUUAUUUACUAAUCUAGUCACUAUACGAUUGUUACGUUUUAUAUAAAAUAUUACAUGAUUAAGUUGCCCUAAUACCAUCUAUGCUAAUUAAUUUUUGUUUAAUGAUUGUUUUUACAUCUAAACAAUAAUUUCGCCGUCCAUUUGGUGAUGUUGAAAUUAAUAAAAGCAACUAGGCGAGUUCAUUGAAUUUGGUAAGAGAUAUGGACGGAUUAGACAAAUAUGGGGCCGAAUGCUUCAUAAAUUUCCAAUAUCAUCAUAUGCGUGACACCGCUUUGUGGCUAAUUCAUUAGCUGAUCUUAACGCAUCCAUGUUUGAUGUAAGGGAAGGUGAAACUGUGGCCGUGAAUUCCAUAUUCGAGCUUCAUCAGUUGCUGGCCCAGCCCGGCGCCAUCGAAAAAGUGCUGCAAGUCGUGAGCGAAGUGAAGCCUGAAAUCUUGACUGUGGUGGAGCUAGAGGCUAACCACAAUGGGCCGGUUUUCUUGGACCGAUUCACGGAGUCUUUGCACUAUUACUCGACCCUUUUUGAUUCUUUGGAGAGUAGCGGUGGCGGCGAUAUUGGUGGCGGGGCGGUGAGUGUUCAGGACAAGGUUAUGAGUGAAGUUUAUUUGGGUCGGCAGAUCUGUAAUGUGGUGGCGUGUGAGGGACCGGACCGGGUGGAGAGGCACGAGACCUUGGUCCAGUGGAGAACCCGGUUCCAGUCUGCCGGGUUUGGGCCGGUUCAUUUGGGUUCAAAUGCUUAUAGGCAGGCUAGUAUGUUACUUGCCUUAUUUGCAGGUGGGGAUGGCUAUAGAGUUGAGGAAAAAGAUGGGUGUUUGACAUUAGGAUGGCAUACAAGGCCAUUGAUUGCUACCUCGGCCUGGAAACUCAUCUAACACACUGAGUCAACGAAAACCGGUUGGUUGACUCGGUUUUGAAGGUGUACCUACCUUAGUGAGGAUGAGACGCACCACUCCCAAGUGUCUCACUUUUACUUUUUUCUUUAUAUUUUCCGUUUUUUAGCCGAUCCUUUUUAUGGCUUUGAAAUUUAAUUUUCUUGUUUUAUUGGGUGUAAUCUUGUAAUUCUGAGGGGUGAGUGAAUCUGAAAUAGUCAAUGUGUAUUUUUUUAUUUAUAUAUAGCUUUUGCCUCAAUAAAGAAGAGAGCUCUUCUUUGGAUUUGUGUUUGUGCGUGUGUUUCGGUGUUUGUGCAUGGGAUUUCAAUAGGUUUGG